rnacentral:rRNA from 1 species
GGGCCCGCACAAGCGGUGGAGCAUGUGGUUUAAUUCGAUGAUACGCGAGGAACCUUACCAGGGCUUAAAUGUAGUGGGACAGGUCUAGAGAUAGACCCUUCUUCGGACUCAUUACAAGGUGCUGCAUGGUUGUCGUCAGCUCGUGCCGUGAGGUGUCAGGUUAAGUCCUAUAACGAGCGCAACCCCUGUCGUUAGUUACCAGCAAGUAAUGUUGGGAACUCUAACGAAACUGCCAGUGCAAACUGUGAGGAAGGUGGGGAUGACGUCAAAUCAUCACGGCCCUUACGUCCUGGGCUACACACGUGCUACAAUGGCCGGUACAGAGAGCAGCCACUUCGCAAGAAGGAGCGAAUCUAUUAAAACCGGUCUCAGUUCGGAUCGGAGUCUGCAACUCGACUCCGUGAAGCUGGAAUC